CCCACCGGCCGGGAGCCCGCGCGGCCUGGCUCAGCGCCAAGCCCCGGGCUGGACCGCAGCGUCUCUCGCUACCCGGGGUAAAACUCAAGUGUGGGCGGAGACUGAGCGUAGAGGCCCGGCCAUCGCUCCCGCAGAGAAACUGUCAGAAGGCUCUCGGACUGCCAAGCGCAGCUCCCACCCACGCUUCUUCUCGGCUGCACGCGCUCCGCCGCUUCUCCGAGAAAGAAGGCGCAACCGGACCCGCGACGAGUGUCCCGGGGCAGACGGCGCGCCUGCCUUGAUGUAAGCAGCGCGGAGAAGGGAGGAGUGCCUGGCUCUGUGGCGCAAUGGAUAGCGCAUUGGACUUCUAGACAGAUGGAGGUAUUCAAAGGUUGUGGGUUCGAGUCCCACCAGAGUCGCUUUUGUUUUGGUAGAGGAAGGAAGUAAAGAAAAAAUCCCACCUGGACACCUUUAAAAUUCCCCAUCCCACUCGUCCCCUAGGAAAAGGAAGGAAACUCAUUCCAACUUCCUGUUGGGUCCUCUCGUGUGAUGGUGUUGGGAGAUUCGUCACCCGAGUCUUUCCAGUCGCCUUUAGGGGGCCCCAGAGUUUCCGGUGACUGGAGGUGGAGAAAUUAGCGAGACGUGUUAAGUUUCGGAGACUUUUUUGCACCCACAUUGCGCUUUUACAUUCACAAUCAAAAUUUCUAAUUGUUUUGAAACUUCAGUAACUCCAUAUUGCUCAAGUGGGCUAAAAAUGAACGCGCGCUUGCAGCGUACCAGAAUGGCCGAGUGGUUAAGGCGUUGGACUUAAGAUCCAAUGGAUUUAUAUCCUCGUGGGUUCGAACCCCACUUCUGGUAAAGGCUCGUCUGCUUUUCUAAACAGGAACUUACGCUUUGAGUUUCCCGAGGGCUUUCAAGAUGGUAAACAGUUGCGACCCUCUGUGUGUUUUCAGUCUUAACAGGCUGAGAGACUAUGAUGGACGGAAGUAACAAAGACAGCCUGAAUGGUUACAUGGCAAUGACGUGUUAAUCUGACUGUUAGUGUUUUUGCCAGAAACGGAAAGUGUAGCAAGAAAUUCAGAGUUGAUGGUUUGGAAAACUGAAGGAAAGGGUCCGUGUAAAACUGUACUACGUUGGGGUGGGGUGGGGAGUAAAAGCGUUCACCCUUUGAAAUUAGUCAACAGUUAUUUCUUAAGA